rfam:Pleurotus ostreatus PC15 unplaced genomic scaffold scaffold_08, whole genome shotgun sequence.
GCCAACGUAGCACAAUGGUUAGUGUGUUGCUUUCCGGAGGCAAAGGCUGUGGGUUCGAGUCCCACCGUUGGUU